AAAUUCCGAACGGCGGCGUUCAGUCUCACCGGCCUCCCGGGCCCCCCUUCCGCAGAGACCAAGGGUCCUCGCCGGCGUGCGGCUGCCUCUCGGGGUGGUCGUCGCGUCGCCUGGGCCCCUCUCGGUUGUGGUUCAAUGCUGGUCCGGGGCGGUGUGGAUGCACUCGCUGCCGUAGUAGGAUGUCGCGACUCGUUGGGUGGCGGUCGCGAGGCUGGGCGGGGUAGCCCGGUGUCCGUGUGUCGUGCGCCUCUGAGGUGAAAUGCACGCGGUGCGGCCCGGACCCGCCUGUGUCCUCUCCGUCUGCCCGACGGUAUCGAAAAGGCGUCGGGGUUUUCCGGCCCGCUGCUAAUGCCCCUUGCUCGUCUCGGGGUAGGCGGGUCAGCGCCCCGACUGUCUGCGGCAUUGCCUGUUUCGGAUCCAUAUCCGACCCGUCUUGAAACACGGACCAAGGAGCGUAACACAUGCGCGAGUCGAAGGGUGCUUCUAAACCCGGAGGCGAAGCGAAAGCGUAAGGGACGAUGGCCACUUGUCGUGCUCUCCCGCUCGUCGGGAUCCGGCAGGCCCGCAGUCCCGGGGCACCUCAUUUCUCUGUCCGGGCCUCGCGCCCGGCUGAGUCGAGGCGCACCUGUCAGCGUAUGUGUUGUUACCCGAGAGAUGGUGAACUAUGCCUGGCCAGGACGAAGGCAGGGGAAAC
rnacentral:rRNA from 1 species